AACCAGCACCUCAAGUGGUCAGGAUGAUUAUUGGGCCUAAAGCAUCCGUAGCCCGCUUUGUUAGUUUUCGGUUAAAUCUGUGCGCUUAACGUACAGGCUGCCGGAAAUACUGCAAAGCUAGGGAGUGGGAGAGGUAGACGGUACUCGGUAGGAAGGGGUAAAAUCCUUUGAUCUAUUGAUGACCACCUGUGGCGAAGGCGGUCUACCAGAACACGUCCGACGGUGAGGGAUGAAAGCUGGGGGAGCAAACCGGAUUAGAUACCCGGGUAGUCCCAGCUGUAAACUAUGCAAACUCAGUGAUGCAUUGGCUUGUGGCCAAUGCAGUGCUGCAGGGAAGCCGUUAAGUUUGCCGCCUGGGAAUACGUACGCAAGUAUGAAACUUAAAGGAAUUGGCGGGGAGCACCACGAAGGGUGAAGCCUGCGGUUC
rnacentral:rRNA from 1 species